rnacentral:lncRNA from 1 species
GGUGAGAAUGUUGAAACGAUCGCCACCCUGGAGAAGAGGAUGGUGAGCACCGUGGAGGAUGGUGGCUGUGCUUAGAUGGCACGAAAUGAGCCAUCGGCUCCUUCACUGGCGGCUGCUGCUACUGUUAGAUUUACUGCUGUUGGAGGUUUUGAACCACCUCCGUCAAAACCUUCAUUUACUGCAUGAGCGCAGUAAUUUGCACAUCUGUAGUAACCACAGGAUGUGAAAAACUGGGCUCUGCCAUUGGAGAUGGGGGAAGAAUAUCUUUCCGACAGGAAGACUGCUUCGUCGAUUCAGUCAAAUGUUGAACUUUGAUUUUCGACAUGGUUGAUUGUAGUUUUUCUCCUACCUAGUGCAUCAAUCUAUUGCGGUCAAUCUCCUGUAGCGCC